UGUUGUACUUACUUUAAUGAAUGGAAUUAUGUCCAAGCAAGUGUUGUGGAGAUGUCGCGAAUUCCCGGAUCUACCACUGGUUAUAGCAGAAUUGUCGAGAGACACGACAAAUUCAAAUAUGCAGCUGUGGUGUUUUCAGCUUUUACGUGAAUUGGGUGAAAUGCCUUGCAUCAAGCGUUUUACAAGGGCAACGUGUUUGGAAAUAUUGAAGAACUGCAAAGGUCUAUCAUUAAAAAAUGAAGGAGCGCGCAGUGAACUUUUGUAUUGGCUGCAAAGGGAACUCUACCAUACUACCAACUUGCGACUGAAAUCAUUAGAUAUUUAACAUGUUUGUAUGUUUUAAAAAUCACAAUAAAUCACAGUUUGAUAAUUAUCUGGCUUAAAAUUUAA